rnacentral:rRNA from 1 species
CUGCAGUUAACGCAUUAAGCACUCCGCCUGGGGAGUACGGCCGCAAGGCUGAAACUCAAAAGAAUUGACGGGGACCCGCACAAGCGGUGGAGCAUGUGGUUUAAUUCGAAGCAACGCGAAGAACCUUACCAGGUCUUGACAUCCCGCUGACCGCUAUGGAGACAUAGCUUUCCCUUCGGGGACAGCGGUGACAGGUGGUGCAUGGUUGUCGUCAGCUCGUGUCGUGAGAUGUUGGGUUAAGUCCCGCAACGAGCGCAACCCUUGAUCUUAGUUGCCAGCAUUCAGUUGGGCACUCUAAGGUGACUGCCGGUGACAAGCCGGAGGAAGGUGGGGAUGACGUCAAAUCAUCAUGCCCCUUAUGACCUGGGCUACACACGUGCUACAAUGGAUGGAACAAAGGGGAGCGAAGCCGCGAGGUGAAGCAAAUCCCAUAAAACCAUUCUCAGUUCGGAUUGCAGGCUGCAACUCG